rnacentral:rRNA from 1 species
CCUACGGGUGGCAGCAGUGGGGAAUUUUGGACAAUGGGGGCAACCCUGAUCCAGCCAUUCCGCGUGAGUGAAGAAGGCCUUCGGGUUGUAAAGCUCUUUCGCAAGGGAAGAAACGAUACAGUCUAAUAAACUGUGUUAAUGACGGUACCUUGAUAAGAAGCACCGGCUAACUACGUGCCAGCAGCCGCGGUAAUACGUAGGGUGCGAGCGUUAAUCGGAAUUACUGGGCGUAAAGCGUGCGCAGGCGGUUUUGAAAGUCAGAUGUGAAAUCCCCGGGCUCAACCUGGGAACUGCGUUUGAAACUCCAAAGCUAGAGUAUGGGAGAGGGGGGUAGAAUUCCACGUGUAGCAGUGAAAUGCGUAGAGAUGUGGAGGAAUACCAAUGGCGAAGGCAGCCCCCUGGCUUAAUACUGACGCUCAUGCACGAAAGCGUGGGGAGCAAACAGGAUUAGAUACCCUUGUAGUC